rnacentral:rRNA from 1 species
GACGAACGCUGGCGGCGUGCUUAACACAUGCAAGUCGAACGGAAAGGCCCUGCGUUUGUGGGGUGCUCGAGUGGCGAACGGGUGAGUAACACGUGAGUAACCUGCCCUUGACUUUGGGGUAACUUCAGGAAACUGGGGCUAAUACCGGAUAGGAGCUCCUGCAGCAUGGUGGGGGUUGGAAAGUUUCGGCGGUUUUGGCUGGACUGGCGGCUUACGAGCUUGAUGGUGGGGUAGGUGCGUACAAAGGCUUUGAAGGGUAGCCGGCCUUGGAGGUUGACCGGCCACCUUGGUCCUGAGGUACGGCCCAGACUGCUACGUGAGGCAGCGGUGGGGAAUAUUGCGCAAUGGGCGCAAGCCUGAUGCAGCAACGCCGCGUUCGUGAUGACGUCCUUCGGGUUGUAAACCGCUUUCGCCUGUGACGAAGCGUGAGUGACGGUAAUGGGUAAAGAAGCACCGGCUAACUACGUG